UCUCCGCUGGUGAACCAGCGGAGGGAUCAUUACCGAGUGCAAACUCAUAACCCUUUGUGAACCUAUAUCUGUUGCUUCGGCGGCUCGCUCUCGGGCGAGCCCGCCGGUAAUAUCAGUAUCUCUGUUUGAACCCGACGAUACUUCUGAGUGUUCUUAGCGAACAGUUAAAACUUUUAACAACGGAUCUCUUGGCUCUA
rnacentral:misc_RNA from 1 species